rnacentral:rRNA from 1 species
GCGGCAGGCCUAACACAUGCAAGUCGAGGGGUAACGGGGAGCUUGCUCCGCCGACGACCGGCGCACGGGUGCGCACCGCGUAUGGAACCUACCUUCUACAGGGGAAUAGCCCAGGGAAACUUGGAUUAAUGCCCCGUGGCACCGUUUUACGGCAUCGUUUAACGGUUAAAGCCUUCGGGCGGUAGAAGAUGGCCAUGCGUCCCAUUAGUUUGUUGGUAAGGUAACGGCUUACCAAGACUACGAUGGGUAGGGGCCCUGAGAGGGGGAUCCCCCACACUGGUACUGAGACACGGACCAGACUCCUACGGGAGGCAGCAGUGAGGAAUAUUGGACAAUGGAGGAGACUCUGAUCCAGCCAUGCCGCGUGCAGGAAGAAUGCCCUAUGGGUAGUAAACUGCUUUUAUACGGGAAGAAAAAGGGGCACGUGUGCCCUGUUGACGGUACCGUAAGAAUAAGGACCGGCUAACUCCGUGCCAGCAGCCGCGGUAAUACGGAGGGUCCGAGCGUUAUCCGGAAUUAUUGGGUUUAAAGGGUCCGUAGGCGGGCCGGUAAGUCACGGGUGAAAGUCUGCCGCUCAACGGUAGAACUGCCUUUGAUACUGUCGGUCUUGAGUUAUGGUGAAGUUGCCGGAAUAUGUAGUGUACCGGUGAAAUGCAUAGAUAUUACAUAGAACACCGAUUGCGAAGGCAGGUGACUACCAUAUACUGACGCUGAUGGACGAAAGCGUGGGGAGCGAACAGGAUUAGAUACCCUGGUAGUCCACGCCGUAAACGAUGGAUACUAGCUGUCCGGGUCCUUGAGACCUGGGCGGCCAAGCGAAAGUGAUAAGUAUCCCACCUGGGGAGUACGUUCGCAAGAAUGAAACUCAAAGGAAUUGACGGGGGCCCGCACAAGCGGUGGAGCAUGUGGUUUAAUUCGAUGAUACGCGAGGACCCUUACCAGGGCUUAAAUGCAUUUUGACAGGGGUGGAGACACCUUUUCCUUCGGGCAAUUUGCAAGGUGCUGCAUGGUUGUCGUCAGCUCGUGCCGUGAGGUGUCAGGUUAAGUCCUAUAACGAGCGCAACCCCUACCGUUAGUUGCCAGCAUGUCAUGAUGGGGACUCUAGCGGGACUGCCGGUGCAAACCGUGAGGAAGGUGGGGAUGACGUCAAAUCAUCACGGCCCUUACGUCCUGGGCCACACACGUGCUACAAUGGCAGGUACAGAGAGCAGCCACGUCGCAAGGCGGAGCGAAUCUAUAAAACCUGUCACAGUUCGGAUCGGGGUCUGCAACUCGACCCCGUGAAGCUGGAAUCGCUAGUAAUCGGAUAUCAGCCAUGAUCCGGUGAAUACGUUCCCGGGCCUUGUACACACCGCCCGUCAAGCCAUGGAAGCCGGGAGUGCCUGAAGUCCGUCACCGUAAGGAGCGGCCUAGGGCAAGAUCGGUAA